UAAUCAUGAAGGAGAAACGUGCGAGACGGUUGGAAUCAUUAAAAUCAGCAGCAAAAAGAUCGGGUACGGAUUGCAUCAAAACAGAACUAAAUAAAUCGACCACAAUAAAUGGAGUGUCACCACUAAGGAUGGACGAAGCAUCAUGCGAGGAAUUAUAAAGAGCACUGCCAACUGCGUUUGAGGAGCCAAAAGAUACGCAUUCCACUAAUACAAGCAUAUCAAGUCAAUUUGAGAAUCAAAUCUCCAUACCAUGUUUUGUUAAUGACUCUGAUUAUAGUGCAGGUGAAAGUAUGUUUAAAAGUAUUAAC